rnacentral:rRNA from 1 species
GAACCGUACGAACGUUAUUCGGGAAUCACUGGGGCUUAAAGGGUGCGCAGGCGGCCUGUCAAGUUGGGUGUGAAAUCCCUCGGGCUCAACCGAGGGAAUUGCGCUCAAAAACUGGCAGGCUUGAGGAAGACAGAGGUGAGCGGAACUCAGGGUGGAGCGGUGAAAUGCGUUGAUAUCCUGGGGAACACCAGUAGCGAAGGCGGCUCACUGGGUCUUUUCUGACGCUCAGGCACGAAAGCUAGGGGAGCGAACGGGAUUAGAUACCCCGGUAGUCCUAGCUGUAAACGAUGAGCACUGGGUUGGAGGGUCCUCCAUAGCCUUCCAGCCGUAGCGAAAGUGUUAAGUGCUCCGCCUGGGGAGUAUGGUCGCAAAGGCUG